UUUUUCCAUUUCUUUUCCUUUUUAUUGAUGGAGAAUCGAACCCAAUUUCUUUUAUAAACAAUUUGAAUGAUAGAGUAACAACAUCGCUCCGUUUGUUUCUGUAAUACGGUAUAUAUUUGUUUAAAUCAUAAAUUUAAAAAUAUUCGGUUAAUUAACAAACACCACCGUAUAUACCAUAGUUUUGUAGAAUAUAAUACAAUUUAUAAUUUUUCAAGUUUAUUUUUUUAAAUCAUAACAGCAAAAACUAUAAUAAUAUCAGUAUAUGCCGAUUAAACCAUGGUUCGCAAAUGGGUUAUCUUCUAUCUUUUGAUGCUUAAUGUGAUUUUUGUGGUGUAAUAAUUUGUGAUAUGAUCAUAACACGACUGCCAAUCAUUUAGCAUUUAAAUGGGCCGUUAGGAGACUAUUUUACGCAUCUGUCAGAUCAACAUUCAUUUCCACAUUGCUGCUGGGACCCACAUUUCUUAUCUUGUAGACAGUGCAUGGAUUAAUAAUGGCCUCCAAUUUUAUGGUCCAUUAAUGAAGAGAUAAUCCAUGUUUGGCAUGUCAAGAAGAAAAUAAAAUCUAACUAUACUGCCCCACUCGCCCCAAGUUGCGCGUGUAAUAUAAUGGAGGUACAAAUCUCAGCCAUCUUCUACGCCUAUUGUAUAAAUAUACCGUUCACUACAAUAUAGCUUUUAAGUGUUCCUUUUGUUAUUACUGAUUUAUUUGAAGGUAUUUUCAUUGAUUUAUUUUUUAUUGAACAGAGAAAUAACAAAAAUAGUUCCAGAAUAAUAAAAAAACUAACUUUGUUGGACAAAGAUGUUUUAGUAUUUUUCUUUUUAAAUGUACACUGCAAUCACACAAUUGUCCUUGAGGUGAAAACAUAUAGGUUAUGCGUAUAGGGGUAUUAAAGUCUUUUCCCUAAGGUUUUUUUUUUUUUUGUAAUUACUAGGGUUGGUCAAGGGUGAUAAUGUGAUUUAACAUUGUAUUAAUAUUUUUUAAUUAAAAAAACUGUUGGCGAGUGUUGUUAAUGUGUUAACGAGUGCCAACAUAGCGGAGACGUUGCGCACUUUGAGCGGCGCGUGUGACACCUUUUAGCGGUGAAAAAUUGCCAUUCGCUGUCUCAUUUUGUUAUCCACCAUGUCCUCUUCUUUUAUGACCGGCGCGUGUCAUCUAAAGGUGAUCGGUUUAUCUCUGGUGGACCUUUCUUUUUUCCCCUUUUAUUUUUCAAGUUCAUGUUAUACUCAAUAUUUGUCUGUUUGUUGCCUUUGAUUAUGACAACGUGUGGCAGGAUCAAAAUAUAACACUCCCUACAUAAGAUAACUUGGUGAUAUCAAGUUUAAGGAUCACUUACACAAUCAUCGUAAGUUUUGGGAAUGCAAUUUUCACAGGGCCAUCUUGUGUUGUGACGAUUCUCUCCAGAGAAUGUCUCAACAAGGACAGCCAAGAGCUAAUCAAUGCUGGAGGGCUCCUUUCUCCAGAUCCUAUCCAACUAGGAAACGAAGACAUUUAUUAGUCUAAAAAGAAAUAAGAAAAGUUGUAUUAUUAUUGUGCCGCCGAUGGAGUAUGCGGCCACCGGAUUUGACGAGGUAUCGUUGCUUGUGGUGGUAUUGUUAUCUAGUCUUCUGAAAUGAACUCAGCGAGCAAAGGACUAGGAGCAUUAAAAGAUGAGAAGUUGCCCAGAUGGAAACCAUUGACUAUCUUAAGAGAUAGAUGAAGUAUCUUCUAAUUUUUGACAUAUUAUUUUGUAUUUUUUAAUGCUAUUAUGCUUCUCCUUGUUCUUGAGAAAUAAAGAUUUUAUCAACAUCUAGAA